rnacentral:rRNA from 1 species
AGCGAACGCUGGCGGCAGGCCUAACACAUGCAAGUCGAGCGCCCAGCAAUGGGAGCGGCAGACGGGAGAGUAACACGCGGGAACAUGCCCUUCAGUACGGAACAACCAAGGGAAACUUUGGCUAAUACCGUAUACGCCCGUAAGGGGAAAGAUUUAUCGCUGAAGGAUUGGCCCGCGUCUGAUUAGCUAGUUGGUGGGGUAAUGGCACACCAAGGCGACGAUCAGUAGCUGGUCUGAGAGGAUGAUCAGCCUCACUGGGACUGAGACACGGCCCAGACUCCUACGGGAGGCAGCAGUGGGGAAUAUUGGACAAUGGGCGCAAGCCUGAUCCAGCCAUGCCGCGUGAGUGAUGAAGGCCUUAGGGUUGUAAAGCUCUUUCGUCAGGGAAGAUAAUGACGGUACCUGAAGAAGAAGCCCCGGCUAACUUCGUGCCAGCAGCCGCCGUAAGAC